UAGCCUUUUCAAAUGUUAUCGACCGAAUGGAUGACAUUCUGAUACUGAAACGAGUCAUUUAGCUCGGAUUGUGACGGUCAAAUAUAUUGAUCCACCGUGUUACAGCCACCGUUUUGGCCGCUAGUAAAAGUUACUUCAAAGCACGGGCAUUUCCUGUCGGCUCGGAGGAAUUGCGAGGCUACCCAAUCACAGAGACCAAUCACAGAGCUUACGGUCCGAGUCGACUCGACGUGUAGUUACAUUUUUGAGGAGGAGCAGUGUAUACAGCGAUCCUGUGUCGAGGAUGGCAGUUCCCUUCGAUGAUCCAAUAUUUAGGGGCACUCUCAACUGACAAGGAAGCUGGUUACCAGUUGGGAAAGGAGUAUAAUGUCCAGAAGUGGUGAGAGCACUAAGCGUAGCCUAUUGCAGCUCGACUGCGCUGCUAGCCUUUGAUGCUAACUUCCGAGUUAAUUCCGAGUUGCUGCAUCAGACAUGGGGCUGCUGUUGAAUCCCACAGUCAAAAUUUAUUUCCUCUGGAGGUGGAGAUGACAGGCUGAGAUCCCCCAAUACUGUUGUCCGUGCCGGCAGCCUUUUGGGAAAUUAAGGGAUGAGCAUGCUCAGCAAAUUCAGUGAGGUCCAUGUCCAAAAGUGAGUAUGUUGUGGCAGGCCCAGGAUUUCAAAGUGGUGACUCUCUUUUCAUUUCACACCACAAGGAUUCUGAGUUGUAAGCCAUUUUUAUUUUCCUUUGUUCUGUUUGUUCCAGAAAUAAAGUUUGUUUUAUUUAA